rnacentral:piRNA from 1 species
GCGGCCAGCCAAUGAAAAUGAGCGGCCGUCGAGCCACAUGACCCAGCGGUGACGUCGCGCGAUUAGUCGACCAAUCAGAGAGCGGCGUCCAAUUCCGACCAAGCUCUCUAGCUCUUGGGUAACUAGAGACGGCCCUGUCGAAAUCCGUCCGCCCAAGAAUGGCAGACCAAAGAGUUUGACCUCACACGCACCAAGUGCAUGCACGCAGAAACUGGUAACAGUACCAACUCGUGAUUAGGAAGAAACAGAGUCAGAGACCUCCUCUGAAUCCUCCUCGCGGAUCCGUGGUUUCAAUCUGUCACUAGCCAGGAGAAAAUCAACGCAGGCAUGCCAGGUUGAUUUACUGUGGAUGAAGUCGCGGAGUGAUCUUGGCGUAUGACCAAGUUCCUUUCCAGCGAUAAAUAGCAGGCGAGUUCUAAGGGAAUCGAGACUGUCACACUCGAGCAAAAUAUGUUCAAGAGUUUCCUCCGCCCCAGAGUUGCAGUAGGGACAAGUGGGAUCGUCAAUAAAUCCCAUUUUGUGGGAAAAGCUGUCUGUCCAAGUGUGUCCGGACAGCAAACCUACAACAGCGUGCACGCUGGGAACAAUGAACGCAUACUUUUUGUCUAGGAGACUCAUUGGAGUGAGGCCAAAGCGGGUGCAGAUGGGGCGAGUGGUGGAGCUGAAUCUGCUCUGCCAAGCCGCCCACGCCAGUUUGCGCGCUGUGGAUUCUAGUUUCGACAGCGGCGCGAGGCGGUAGCAGCUCGGGAGGUCAGAUCCAGCGCCAGACUUCGCGAGCGCAUCUGCAACGUCGUUGCCGACGAUCCCGCUGUGACCUUUGAUCCAGCGAAUGGAACAUCUAUUCCCAUUGCGGUUCAGUUGUGAAAUCAACAGCAGAGCCCUGUUAAUCAGGAAGUUGCCAGUCCUGCAGUUAAGGACUGAGUUCACAACCGAAAGAUUGUCCAGGAGAACCUCAACAGUGGUAUCAAUGGGGAGCUCCGAAGCGUUCUCAAGUGCUUUGAUCAAACCAAAUGCUUCAGCUUGGAAAACUGAACAGUAACGUGACAAAGGAUAACAGACACGCAAUUCAUGAAAGUUGUCAUUCACACACACUCUAUAUAAACCUGCGCCAACUCCAUCAUUGGUCUUGGAGCCGUCUGUAUAGUAGGUGACCUCGGGUGGUAGUUCAGGAAUAUUGCUGGGAAGGAAUAAGAAAGGUGGAUAAGGCAGAGGUUGAGGAGAUGGGGGAGGUUCAACCGGAAAUUCAGCAUCCACGUAACCAUAUUUUUUAAGAUACAGUUGCGUUUUGACAUCAAUUUCCAGGUCAAGAGGGAGAACACGAGAUAAGGUGAUAAGAGAGGAGUUGUUUGUUGUUCUAAAAGCACGACAAGCUAAGAUGAGGAAAAAACGUUGCGUACUUAAUAAGAGCUUUCUGGAGCGUUCAAAAAGAUUAGGAAACCAUACUGGGGAGGCGUAAGCCACCACGGGAAUAACAACCUGCAAGUACAGCAUUCUCAAGGCUCGGAAUCCAAAACCGAAGUUGAAGUUAGCGGCUGCUGACAGGCGCGGUAGCAUGCCGCGGACUUUGGAGCAGACCUCAGCAACGUGCUGGUGGAAAGUCAAACGGUUGUCGAACCUCACACCAAGCACCCUGAUGGAGUCGCACCAUUGAACGACCUGGCCAUUGCUGACCAGAUCGCGUCGCAGCACCCUAAUGCGCCCGAGAGGUUUUUGCACAAACAUAGCCUGGCAUUUGCUCACACUGAGCUCAAGUUUAUGUAAUCCACACCAGUCAGAGAUCAAAUCGAUGGCGUGUUGUGCCUUAGACAGUUGACCGUGCCUCAAUCCCGAGAUCACAACAACCAGGUCGUCUGCGUAGGCCUGUGGAAAUACACUAUUCUUGUACCCAAGUGUGAGCAAUUCAUCAAAGACGAUAUUCCAGAGGAAGGGCCCGAGAACUGAACCUUGUGGACAACCUUUGGAAACGCGUCUAGUGACAGUGCAUCCAUUUACAGACAGUCUGACAGAGCGAUGGGCCAAGAACGAGCGAAUUAAAUCGUGAACGUUCUUGGGACAGUCGCUUUUACGCAGGGCCCGCAAUAUACUGGAGUGCAGUACAUUAUCAAAGGCACCUUUGACAUCAAAAGAGAGAAGAAUAGCAGAUUUAAAUAAGUCUAGCGACCGGGAGAGGGUAUUUUUUAAUUUUAAGAGUGCGGCAAUGGUUGAUUUACAGGGUCUGAAACCGAACUGGUUUGGCUGGGCUUUACACAUUCUCUCAGCCCUCCACGACAGCCUAGCCAGGAUUAGACGCUCGAGAAUUUUACCUAGACUAGGCAGCAUCGUGAUAGGCCUGUGAGACGCGAGAAAGUCCUCACCACCUUUUUUGGGGAUCAAAAUUACAUCGCCCAAUUUCCAGGGAGCUGGAAAGUGGCCAGUCACAAGACACCUGUUAAAAAAUUUCAGAAAAAAACGGCCGGAAUUUUUUAAUUAACUUAACACAAAGAACAGGUGGCAUGCCAUCACUGCCUGGGGAAGAAGAUAAGCGAACCUUAUCCGCGGCCAGCUGCAACUCGACUUCUGAGAACGGGGGAUCGUUAUCAGAAAUUGACUGCAAGGCUCUAUGUAAAUUACUAUGCCCUAACAUGGAAUCGGGCGGGACUCGGCCGAAAUAGUGCUGUAAUACGUGAUCUAAGGUGUCCCGCUGACUGUCAGUGAAGCCGGCGCCUACCGAGAGGGAGGAGAGAGGUUUUUUCUUGUGCUUUCCUCUGAUGAAUUGGUAAAUACCGCCCCAAGGGUUGACUUCGCACUGCGAGCAGAGUCUUUUCCACUCCUCCUGCUUAGCUUUUCUGAUCGUAGCACGAAAUCUGUUAUAAAGCUUUUUGUGAAAGACUUUUAACACACCUCUGACGGCUCCGCGGGCGCGUCUCCACGCACGCUCGGCCUUCAAAGUAGCCCUUUGGAGCGGAUUAAACUCCGGUUUCCACCAAGAUGCAUUUUUUAUUUUGCCAGGUUUAUUUGGCUUGGAAGGAAUGGUCUGUAUGCAUGAAUGAAACACUUCGUCACUAAGUAAUGUAAUAACAUUAUCAAGUUGAAGUGUGUCACUCACGCUAUCUAACAAAAACUCUAGAUGAAAAAUUUUUUUUUUAAGUGUGAAAAAAAAAAUUCCCAGUCGGCGCGGCCAAAGCUGAAGUUUACUUCGCUAAAGCUAUUAAGAAUGACUUUAUUAUUAUUGCUAUUGGAUGGGGGAUCGAAAUUGAUGCUAAAAACGAGGCGUUUAUGAUCAGAUAAAGCCUGGUUGAUCGCGUUCCAAUCAGCGAUCCUGUCAACGAGGCCAGCAGAACAGCAGGUCACAUCAAUGGAAGAGGACGAGUUACGUUCCUCCCACGUGAUUGUACCGUGCUCGUUGACCACAUGGAGCAGGUUGGCAUCAAGGAAAUUCUCAACAGUUUCUCUUUUAGUGCAGGUUGAGCUAAGCAACCGCGCUUUAUCUGACCAUCUGUAAGAUUCAAUAUUUAAAUCGCCGCAGAAAAUUACCUCGUGAUAAUUAAUAGAUUUGAGAGAGAUGUCUAUCCUAUCUAAAAGAUCGCUAACACAACAUGAUGGCGAAAGAUACACAGAACAUAGGAGGAUGGACAGGUUGUUGACUUCACACAGGACAAACACAGAGUUCACACAGGACAAAUGGGACAAAUGGAUGAACUUCAGGCUCGGAUUUGCCAUUAUCACCGCAGCUCCCAGUUUGUUUGUAUCAAUAGAACCAUGGCAGAUUCUGUCAGAGGGAACUGGAAUGGAUGGUAAACUGCCCUUUGCAACUGGGAGCUCUUGUAAUAAUAGCACAUCCGUGUUUUCGUUGAAACAUUCAUUCCACAAGGAGGACAGACAAUAAGGUGAGCGUCUUACAUUUGCUUGAACACACUUGAGCACGUUCAUCGCACCAUUGAACUAAUAAAUUGCUCCUGGGCGUCCCGCAUGUGCUUGCACGCCAUUGAGUUAGCGCUGUGCUUGCCACCGCAUCUGUGGCAUUUCAGAGCGGCCUUGUUGUCACAGGCCUCGGUCAGAUGUGCCCCAGAGCAGUAGCCGCAUUUGGCCGCCUUGGUACACUUCUUUCCGUUUUUGUGGGUCCUGUGUUCCAGGUUGCCGCAGACACCGCAGGGAAAGACGCGCUUAGCCCUUGCGAGUCUCAGGGAAAGGUAAUCUAGAGUGAGCCUACCGCGCCCGAGCAGGGCAGUCUCAAUUACCUUAUUCACCUCAAUUAUCGCGGUGGAGGAGGAACCCUCUUUUCUAAUCAGUUUUACCAUCCUGAUGUCGUCAGCGCUUUUCAGCAGCUUUUCGACAGCGGGAUGGCAUCUGAUGUCAGCCACAAGCUGCUCCUCGGUUUUCUCUCCAGGAAUACCAAAGAUCGCAAGCCUGGGCUUGAAUGUUGGGUUCGUUUGGACUUUAAGGCCGCCAAUAUUGGCGGUCUUGACGUUGUCAACAAACCUCUUUUUUUCAGAGGGAUUUGUGAAGUGGAGGACCAGUUUUUUGUCCCCACCAGUCACUGCGGCGACAUCCAGGUUUUUCAAACUGGGAGUCUGAGCGAUCUUCGCCCUUAGCUCCUUAACAGAGAGAACAUCAGAGUCCAACUUUACAUGGUUGGCACUGUUACGCAGAGUCUGCGCGUAGCUGGGCCGAGAAGGCUUGGUCAGCUUAGCACUGACAUUGACUGGCGGCGUGGUUUUCGUCACAGAGGGUGCUAUGAGAGUUGACUUGGCAGCGGGUUUUGCUGCAGGAGCGGAGAUAGCCGCGGGAGCGGGAAUAGCAGCGGUAGCAGCCUUGAGCUUAUUUUCAUAAUCCUCACGGAGUUUCUCCGUAUAAAGGUCACAGGCUUUGAGUUUUUUGGAAAGGACCCCAAAGGCGGACUUUUGCAGUUCUGCAAGGAUACCAUUGACAUUUCUGUAAAUGGUACAGAGAGGAGCUGUGUCUUGACCUACUUUUGAGGCCGAAUCUAUUUCCACAAGAACCAUGUUGGCGCAAUUAGUGAAGCACUUAUUUAUCUCUUCCCACCCUUCCCUAAAUGCCUGGUUGGUAUCAAGUGGCCCUAUUGGAGUAGGAGAAGAAGGAGAAACCCGGGGAAACUCACCAUUUGGGAUUGGUUCCGUGGUCACAAGCUCGGCCCCAGUGCCAGGAGGGUCCGUCGAUCGAGCGUCGCUUUUUUUAAGUUUAGCUGCGUCACUGCAUCCAGCCAGAGGAGGGUCCAUAUUGCCCGAGGGAGGAUCCGGGGAGCCUCGCGCGUAAGCAUGGUCGUCAAAGGAGGCCAUCUUGAUUUAAAAAAAAAAUUUUCUCUAUUUGGAAAAAAAAAAAAUUAAUUAAUCAAUUUCAAGAAGGAACUAAUGUCAUCGUUAUUUCAUCUCAAUUUGCAGGUGUUACAUUCGAGCACAGCUCGCGAGUCACCUUGUCCAUAUUAUUUACACAUGGCGAGUUGUGAUGCUGGAGUGGCCCCCCGAACCUUACAGGAGGGCAGUUGUUGGGUGUUUGGCUGUCAGCUAGCCAUUGGGUCCAGGUCGUCGGAUUCGGUGGCUGAGGUCACCUUGGUUUUGAACAAUUUCUUGUAUAGUUGGAUUUGAGGAUUUUUGAAAUUGCGAGAAUAGUCUUGUCGCAGAGUCUUGAUAAAUUCUUCUAUAUUAGGCUGGUUGAGAUCUUCUUUGAGAAUUUUGUUUGAAAGAUUGAAUGGGGCUCCUAUAGUGGUUCGUAAGCAAAUCCUCAUGAAGGCAUCUAUUCUUUUUUAUCCGUAGGUGUGAUAUAUUUGCCCCAGACUGGUAGUGCGUACGUGAUGAUGGGUAGAAUGCAGGUUUUGUACAACGUGAAUUUAUGCUUUGUUGUUAAAUUACUUUUAAAAUUAAGCAGGCUUGAUAGAGAUAUUUUGGCUAUCUUUGCCUUUCUUAUGGUGUUUUGGACAUGUAGGUUAAAUUUUAAUUUCGAAUCCAAAGUGACACCAAGAUACUUGGCAUGGUCGGCCCAACUAAUAGUGCUUGAGUUUACUGUCAAGUUGGUUUGUGGCUUGAAUUUUUUGUUAUCUCUUGGGGGAAAAACUAUUGCUUGAGUCUUAGUUGGGUUAAUGUCUAGUUUCCACUCAUCGCACCAUUUGAUUAUGUCAUUUAGGUAAUUCUGAAGCUGAGUAACCAAUAGGUUGACUGAUUUGGAGUUGAAUAAAAUUGCUGUGUCAUCUGCGAAGAGCUUAAGUUUACAUUUAGAGUGCAGUGGGAUGUCAUUAAUGUAAAUAUUGAAAAGGUAGGGUCCGAGGAUAGAGCCUUGAGGUACUCCAGUCUGGAUUGGCUUUGGUUCAGUUAUAAAAUUUCCUUGCUUGACUGAAAAUGUCCUGCCCUGUAGAUAAUUCUGCAUAAAAUUGAUAAUGUCACUUGGAAACUGGUGUUUUGUGAGUUUCUUUAUAAGGCCAUUAUGCCAAACUUUAUCAAAUGCUUUCGCAAAAUCUAGAAAGACAGCACCUACCACUUCCUUGUGGGAUCUUCUUAUCUGGAUAUAGUCCAGAACUGCAAUGAGUUGGUGAGUUGUUGAGUGCCCCCUUCUAAAUCCGAAUUGCUGCGGGAUGAUGAAGUUAGAGUUGUCCAAGUACAUCUGAAGUCUACGUAGAAUAAUUCUUUCGUAAAUUUUGCCGAUGGUGGAGAGGAGGCUGAUAGGUCUUAGAUCUUCAGGGGAUUUAGCGGAUUUUUUUGGAAUUGGAAUUAUGAUAGCAUGCUUCCAGACUUUGGGGUAGUAACACAAGUGCAGUGCGGCGUUGAAUACUCCAGCUAGAAAUACAAUCCAUUUGAUCGGAAGAUUCUUGGCCAUUUGCGGAGUGAUAUUGUCAUGACCAGGAGCUUUGUGGUUAGCUAAGUAUUUAAUUACUUCUUUGACUUCAUUU